AAACGAUCAAGCUUAAGAGUUAUUUAAUUAGGGUACAGCCUAUUUAAAACAGGGAUACAACCUAGACAACUGGGUAAGACCUAGACAUAAUAUACAGUAGGCUUAAAAGCAGCCAUCUUUAAAAGCGUUGAAGCUUAUUAUUACAAUUUUUAGAUCCCACCAAUAACCACGAACCCCCCUCCCCCAAUGAAUAAUACCAUAAAAAUAUGGUAAAUAUUAUGCUAGGACUAGUAACAAGAAUAAAAUUCUCCAGAAUGUGUGCAUGAACCAGAAUGAACCUCCCACUGGUAAUUAUCGAAAAUGAGCUUAAUACAGUAACACAACAAGAAAACCCUGUAGCCCUACCCCGUCAACCUUACACCAGAACAUUCCAGGAAAGAUUAACAGAGAAAGAAGGAACUCGGCAAAUCUCUGCCCCGCCUGUUUACCAAAAACAUCGCCUCUUGAUUUACAUAAGAGGUCCAGCCUGCCCAGUGAUAAAUUUAACGGCCGCGACAUCCUAACCGCGCAAAGGUAGCACAAUCACUUGUCUCUUAAUUGGGGACUCGAAUCAACGGCACCACGAGGGCCGCACUGUCUCCUUUCUCUAAUCAGUGAAACUGAUCUCCCCGUGAAAAAGCGGGGAUGAAACUAUAAGACGAGAAGACCCCACGGAGCUUCAAACUAACAGCAACUCAGCCAGAUUUCUCCCUCAUAGCAUACAAGAUAUGCAUGUUACUUUUGGGUUGGGGCGACCACGGAGCACAAACUAACCUCCAUGAUGUAAAGAACUAAAUCUUUAUCCCAGAGCCACACCUCCAAGAAUCAGUAUACUGACGAAAUGACCCGACCAGAUCAACGAACCAAGUUACCCUGGGGAUAACAGCGCAAUCUACUUCAAGAGCCCAUAUCAACAAGUAGGCUUACGACCUCGAUGUUGGAUCAGGGUAUCCCAGGGG
rnacentral:rRNA from 1 species